rnacentral:rRNA from 1 species
GACGAACGCUGGCGGCGUGCUUAACACAUGCAAGUCGAACGGUAAGGCCCUUCGGGGUACACGAGUGGCGAACGGGUGAGCAACACGUGGGUGAUCUGCCCUGCACUUCGGGAUAAGCCUGGGAAACUGGGUCUAAUACCGGAUAGGACCACUGCCUGCAUGGGUGGGGGUGGAAAGCUUUUGCGGUGUGGGAUGGGCCCGCGGCCUAUCAGCUUGUUGGUGGGGUGAUGGCCUACCAAGGCGACGAGGGGUAGCCGGCCUGAGAGGGUGACCGGCAACACUGGGACUGAGAUACGGCCCAGACUCCUACGGGAGGCAGCAGUGGGGAAUAUUGCACAAUGGGCGCAAGCCUGAUGCAGCGACGCCGCGUGAGGGAUGACGGCCUUCGGGUUGUAAACCUCUUUCAGCACCGACGAAGCGCAAGUGACGGUAGGUGCAGAAGAAGGACCGGCCAACUACGUGCCAGCCGCCGCCGUAA